rnacentral:lncRNA from 1 species
AAAAUUAUAAAAAAUAAUUAAAAUCUAAAAUUUAUUUCGAAUGGCCAAACACUUAUUUCCGAAAAAAAUAAAAAGCUUUUCGAAAAAAUAAAAAAAAUUCUAAUGUCCAAACGGUCUCUAAGAAUAAUGAUGGGAGAUUAGUUUACUAAAAAAUAAAGGACAAAAAAUCAGAAAAAGCGUCCCAGAUACUGAUAUUGGAUUUAAAAAGUAAGGUCAAAUUUCAAGGAUUCCACUAUGUUGAAAGUAACAAAUUCAAAUCCCAUGGACGGAAAGUGUCACAUCUUUAUCACAGGACCACUUAAUUACUAGCACUAUGGAAAUAAGACAGAAAAUAGUACAUUUUUUUCUUUGAUAAAGUAAUUUUAAAUAUAUAAUUGUUAUCAACGGUCCCAUGGAACUUGUCAUUAUGCACAAAUAAAUAGUGGUCCUUCUAGUAUAUAAUAAGUGACGUUUUGACUUUUUCAUUUUAGUUUAAAAUGAGUCUUAUAGUUACAUAUCAAGAGUGAAUAUAUUAUUUUUUCAAAUUUACCCCUACUUAUAUAUUUUAAUGUGUCAAAUUAACAAUAUGUAAAAUUUAAUUAAGGGUAAUUUAGUGAAAAUACUUAUUUAUUUUCUAAAAGUUUAUAUUUUAUUAAGGAGUGUGCCAAAGACAAAUAGUCCACAUUAUUGAAGCCAAAUUUAUGAUUCAAUGAACCCAAAAUAAGUGAAUUAAUUACUGGGCACUAACUGUAAUGUUACUUAAUUAGGUGGUAAAUAGAUGUAAUUAAAAUCUCACGUACAGAAAAACACCAACCAAUACAUGUGUGAAAGUUAUCUCUUAUAAUAACCUAAAUGUACACACCAACUCAUAAAUAAGAAUUAGUUAUAUCCAGAUACAAAAGUGCAUAUAUAUGCCAUUUAAAUUUCAAAAAAAAGAAAAGAAAAUUAGUCCUUUUGGCUCAGAAAGAUUGAAGAAAUGUGAAACACGAGGAUUAAACCUCUUAAAAUUACAGAUUCAACUUUAAUCUUGAUAAGUUUUUAAAACAUAAAAUUUAAAUAAUUAGUAAUUACAUACAAAAUAUUACUCCAUCCGUCCUAAUUCAUGCAAUAAUCUUUCUUUUUAGUUACGAAUUUUAAAAGUAUUUCUUUCUUCCUUAUACUUUAUGCUUGUCGAACACGCUCACAUAAACUGGGAUUAAGAAAAUACUAUCAAUUACAAUAAUUUACUAGUUAAAAGUAUCUUAAAUACAUAUAUAAAAGAAUUAUUUGACUCUCAAAGAAUGAUAAUGUCAUGUAAAAUAUAAUUGAAUAAAUAGUAAACAGAGAACGCGAGAAUCAAUAUAUAACCCAAACAAUUCAAAGAAAAUUCAAACAAAAGAAGUCCAAAAAGAAGAAAUAUUGGAAAAAAGAAGAAAAAUAUCUACAAAAUAAAAAUUAACCGGAAAAACAGCAUUUUGUUUCCGAUAAUUAACUCAUUAAAGCCAAAACAAUAGUAUGAGAAUUGAUACUCAUAUUUAUAUACAGACAACAGUACCUGUAUUUAGUGAAUGGCAGCUUGAAAUUAGAAUUGCAGAAAGCAAUAUAUCAGCGUAGAUUUCAGUGUAUGUAAUUGUUUUGCCUGUUGAAGUGAUAGCAGUGAGCGAGAAAAACACACACACACUAUAUAUAUAGUAAAAAAUGAAUGCAAAGAUAGAAAGAGGAAAAGAAGAAGACUUUGAGCCACGGGGGAGGAAUAUGAUAGCAGGAAUUAUAUAUAUAGGUGGCUUGACUAAGAGCAAACACCGUCCAACGUGGGGACAGUGUAUUUGAGAUGAAGCAUGUCGACGAUUGGAGGCAAAAUCAGAAUUUUAAUUUUAUUAGUUUUAAAUUUUAGAUCUAAU